rnacentral:lncRNA from 1 species
GGUGUCCUACUAUACAGAUACAGCCCUACAGAUAUCGCUAUGCUGUAUCUGUAUACUAUACAGAUAUCGCUUUAAGCUCCGCCCACUGCCGGACUGAGUAUUGUUUAAACCUGUGUGACCUCAGAAUGUGUAUUCCAGUUGCAUUCCAAUGACAAUGACAAUUGUCGAUUUCAAAACUUGAAUGUGUAUGAUUGUGUUACAAAAUCAACCAUGUCAAUUUCAGCAUGCAUAUUUAGUGAAUGCGUCAAGUCUGAAGCGUUGGACAACUCGUACACUUCUGUUUCAAAUUUGACAAUGUUUUGUUAUUUGUUUUUACUGUUGAAAUUAGUUGUUAUGUUAAAAUAGAUAAUUAUUCACCUUGAGCGAUGUAUUAUUGUUGACCAUUCGAGAUUCUUUUUUUGCGAACCCGUCUUCAGCGUAAUGUGUGAUUUUGAUAUUACUACGCGGGCUUCAAGGGAUAACAAAUCGAAAAUAAAUGUUAAAUAUGUUAGUUUUUGUGUCUUUCAAAACACUAACAAUAUACAGAAUUAAUUGCAGGAUAAAGACAAUAACUGUUUAGUGUCUUUAAAUAUCAGCUGUAUUUGUACUCAGCUCGAAACAGGUGUAGUAGCU